rnacentral:lncRNA from 1 species
UGACCUUCAUGCUUCGUGACGUCUUAUAUAACCCUGUUUUAAAGCAGGAACCAGCUAAAUGAAAUGUGUAUCUCGCAGAACGAAUUACUAUUAUACCUGUAGUACACUUCAACAGGUAUAAGAAACCAAUACAAUUAUUCAAUAGUGAAAGUGGUUCAUUGUCGUGAACAUGUUUAAAACUGCCAGUCUAGUGUUCGUGAAUGAUGGUACCUUGGAAAAGAAAAGUACAAAUAUAGUGCAUGAGUUUCUUGUAACACACUUGACGUUACUGAAGUACGAUGUAGAGAAAUUGGUAUUAACAACUGACGACGAAAAUUUUAGGCGACAAUAAUACAAUUCUUAAAGCCCUAGCAAGACUGUGUGAUGAAGAUUUAAGCCUUACUGAAAAAGUUGAACCUAAACAUAAAUGUGUUUGUGAUUUGCCAUCCAAAGCAAAAUUACUUACUAGUAAUACACUUACUUAUCCUGUGAUAUAUUUCCAACGGAUCUUUAUUCUUAAGGAAGAAUCUGCCAAAGAUCAAUUUAAGGAAGUUUUGAAAUCUCACUUGGAGCAAUAUAUUGCACCACCAUUAUAUAAGAAGUUCAUUCAAGCAUAUACUAAUGGUAAUACAAAAAGUGUUAUAGAUUCAAUUCAAGAUUUAGUUUCUGUUAAUGUACAUAAAGAACAAGACUUUGUAACUCUUGAAGUGAGCAGUGAACAGCUUACAAAUGUUGUAGAAGUAGAGCAAAUUCUGGCAAGCAGACUUAAUAGACAAUUUCUAUAUUCAUAUUGGGAUCAAGAA